rnacentral:rRNA from 1 species
UUGCAUAUCCCAAUAGCGGAGGAAAAGAAACCAACAGGGAUUGCUCUAGUAACGGCGAGUGAACAAGCAAAAGCUCAGUUUUGAAAGCCUACUUUGUAGGCAUUGUAUUCUGAAGCCUAGAUUCUGGGAAACGGUGUUUAAGUCUUCUGGAAAGGAGCGCCACGGAGGGUGAUAGCCCCGUACGGCACUGACCCCAUUGUAGUUUCUAGGCGUGGAGUCGAGUUGUUUGGGAAUGCAGCUCAAAUGGGAGGUAUGCUCCUUCUAAAGCUAAAUAUUUGCGAGAGACCGAUAGCGAACAAGUACUGUGAAGGAAAGAUGAAAAGAACUUUGAAAAGAGAGUGAAAUAGGACGUGAAAUUGUUGAAAUGGAAGGGUAGGCUGCUAACCAUGUAGGACCGUGUCUGAGGGGAAGAUAAAAGCUACGGAAUGUGACUCUUCGGAGUGUUAUAGCCGUGGUCAAUGUUCCCACUUAGGCGCGAGGAUCUCAGGUCUACUAAAUU